rnacentral:tRNA from 1 species
GGGGCAGUAGCUCAGUUUGGGAGAGCACUUGAAUGGCAUUCAAGAGGUCGAGGGUUCGAUCCCCUUCUGCUCCA